rnacentral:rRNA from 1 species
CCUACGGGAGGCAGCAGUGAGGAAUAUUGGUCAAUGGACGAGAGUCUGAACCAGCCAAGUAGCGUGAAGGAUGACUGCCCUAUGGGUUGUAAACUUCUUUUAUAUGGGAAUAAAACGUUCCACGUGUGGGAUUUUGUAUGUACCAUAUGAAUAAGGAUCGGCUAACUCCGUGCCAGCAGCCGCGGUAAUACGGAGGAUCCGAGCGUUAUCCGGAUUUAUUGGGUUUAAAGGGAGCGUAGGUGGAUUGUUAAGUCAGUUGUGAAAGUUUGCGGCUCAACCGUAAAAUUGCAGUUGAAACUGGCAGUCUUGAGUACAGUAGAGGUGGGCGGAAUUCGUGGUGUAGCGGUGAAAUGCUUAGAUAUCACGAAGAACUCCGAUUGCGAAGGCAGUUCACUGGACUGCAACUGACACUGAGGCUCGAAAGUGUGGGUAUCAAACAGGAUUAGAUACCCUUGUUC